CACGGUACGACUGGACAGAACUCUUUAAGCAGGGCUGCUAGUGGAAAAAAUUCACUAGCCUCUUUAGAAUUGUAGCUUGUGGUGCAGAUAAUUCUGAAAGCUUUGAAAAUGUUUUUGUUUUUGUUUAUGGCAAAUUGAACAAUUGUUCACACUAUCUUAUCUCUUCUAUAAAUAGAAAACAUAGGAGGUGAAGGAAGCCACAGAUUGUUGCCACCGGUGAAGCAUCGUCGAUCCUCUACACUGCUGCUGCUGCCUACUCAGAUUCAGAUUGGUUUCGGUAAUGUCUCGGACUCAAGAAUCAGUAUCUGUUAGAAAAGGCAAAAAUCUGAGUUCUGGCACCACAUUGUUAUCCAAAACCAGAUUGGCUGCACUCUGGUUGAGGAGUAGGACUAAUUAAUAAUGGUCAUGGAUAAUAGGGUAUAAUCAUCACAAGAAUUUCUCAUACCUGCUUCUUCCUGCAAUGACAGAGCAAGCUCAAGUUGCACCUCCACUUUACCCAUUGCCGGCCGCUCAUCUGGAUCAAACUUCAAGCAUCUUUCUGUGAUAUCAAUAAAUACUUCCCAACACUCUGGUGCAAUCUUGCCUUUGAUAUUCGGAUCAAUAUUCUCCUCAACAGGGUGCUUCUGCCUCUUGUCAACAUUUUUAAGCUUGUCUUUGCAUACUACUUCUAGUAGCACUACACCAAAGGAGUAAACAUCGCAUUUUUCUGUUAAUGUCUUGUUUUCUGAAAUCUCAGGAGCUACAUAACCACAUGUACCUAUAAGUGAAAGUAUCAGUUAAACUAUUCAGUAAAAUUUUUUUCAGUAAACUAACAACAAAACAAAAAUAAAUACCUA